rnacentral:rRNA from 1 species
GACAGAGGUGCCGAGCGUUAGGCGGAAUCACUGGGCUUAAAGCGUGUGUAGGCGGAGUUCUAAGUACCUUGUGAAAUCCCACGGCUUAACCGUGGAACUGCUUGGUAUACUGGUUCUCUUGGGCCAUCUAGGGGCUACUGGAACAAACGGUGGAGCGGUGAAAUGCGUAGAUAUCGUUUGGAACGCCAAUGGUGAAAACAAGUAGCUGGGGAUGUGCAGACGCUGAGACACGAAAGCCAGGGGAGCGAACGGG